rnacentral:rRNA from 1 species
UAGUCCACGCCGUAAACGAUGGAUACUAGUUGUUGGGGUUUACCUCAGUGACUAAGCGAAAGUGAUAAGUAUCCCACCUGGGGAGUACGUUCGCAAGGAUGAAACUCAAAGGAAUUGACGGGGGCCCGCACAAGCGGUGGAGCAUGUGGUUUAAUUCGAUGAUACGCGAGGAACCUUACCAGGGCUUAAAUGUAAGUUGCAUUAGGUGGAGACACUUAUUUCUUCGAACUACUUACAAGGUGCUGCAUGGUUGUCGUCAGCUCGUGCCGUGAGGUGUCAGGUUAAGUCCUAUAACGAGCGCAACCCCUGUUGUUAGUUGCCAGCAUGUAAAGAUGGGAACUCUAGCAAGACUGCCGGUGCAAACCGUGAGGAAGGUGGGGAUGACGUCAAGUCAGCAUGCCCCUUAGUUCUGGGGCUACACACGUACUACAAUGGUUGGGGACAAAGGGGCAGCGAGCGAGCAAUCGUAAGCGAAUCUCAUCAAACCCAGCCUCAGUUCAGAUUGC